GCAGGCUAGUGGAUCUUCAUAUAGGCUAGUUAUUAUGUCACGUUGCCACUCGCUAGUGGCACAAAAUUCCUCGAAUAUACGGAUCUGUUACUUAGCGCCAUCCUUGAUCAUGUUGAAUGCCGCGAUUAGUUGAUGCUAACCCGUGAUGGUACUCAUGGUUUAGGAAGAGGAUAACAAUGAUGAGUGGCAGACAUGGGCAGAUCUAAGGGAGGCUAGGGGGGCUUAGCCCCCUACUACCCUAAAGCUCCAUUAGAACGAAAGGAAGAAGAUGUGUAGUAGAGAGGAAAAAGAAAAAAGAAAAAAAAG
rnacentral:lncRNA from 1 species